rnacentral:rRNA from 1 species
UACGAAGGGGGCUAGCGUUGCUCGGAAUUACUGGGCGUAAAGGGAGCGUAGGCGGAUAGUUCAGUCAGAGGUGAAAGCCCAGGGCUCAACCUUGGAAUUGCCUUUGAUACUGGCUGUCUUGAGUAUGGGAGAGGUUAGCGGAACUCCGAGUGUAGAGGUGAAAUUCGUAGAUAUUCGGAAGAACACCAGUGGCGAAGGCGGCUAACUGGCCCAUUACUGACGCUGAGGCUCGAAAGCGUGGGGAGCAAACAGGA